CAUUUGGUAAGGAGAAUUUCAGUCAUUCCAUUGAUUGUCUAACACUUUUAUGGUAUCAGAGCAGUAGUUUUUUGUUCGAUCCUCACCAUGGCUGAUUCGUCUUCUUCAUCUCCGAAUUUUCCUCUUAACACAAUGGUGCAUAUGCUCACCAUUAAACUGACUUCCUCCAAUUAUUUAUUGUGGAAGAAUCAGUUUGUUCCUCUGUUAACAAGUCAAGCUGUUCCUCUGUUAACAAGUCAAGACCUUCUUGGUUAUUUGGAUGGCAGCAUCAAGGUUCCAUCUGACAAGAUUACUGCCCCUGAUGGCACCACAAAGCCGAAUCCUGAUUAUAUCUCUUAGCUGCGGACAGAUCAGAUGCUACUCAGUUUGCUCCUUCAUCUCUUAUAAAAGAGUCUGUAAGUGAGGUAUUGGGUUUACGUCAUUCACAUGAGGCUUGGUGUGCUCUUGAAGUCUCAUUUUCGCAUAGGUCAAAGACUCAAGAACUACAACUUAAGGAUGAACUCCAACUGAUGCAAUGCGGCUCUCAGUCCAUUGCUGAAUUUUCUCGAACCUUCAAAGGUCUUUGUGAUCAAUUGGCUGCUUUUGUUCGUCCUAUUAACGACAUAGAUAAAGUUCACUGGUAUUUACGAGCAUUAAGACCAGACUACAAGAUCUUUUCCACCACCAUGAUGUCACAACUUCCAUUACCCUCUUUUGCAGAGAUUGUUCUGAAAGCUUUGAGUCAUGAAAUUUUUGAACGAUCGAUCUCCCAUUCACCAUCCAACUCUACCUACAAAGAAAAAAAUCGGUCAUUAAUCUCAAAUCAGCCUUCUACAACUUCUGUCAAUUUGAAGCCUUCAUCCACCUCUGUUUACUGUCAGUUGUGUGACAAUAAAGAACGCCUAGCAAAAUUUUGUUGGGUCUACCUGAAACUUAAGAAAAAGCAAUCGACUAACCUUGCUGAAGCAUUUUCCACCUACUCAGUUCAAGGCCUGAUUGACUCCGAAUGGUUUCUUGACUUUGGUGCAACAUCGCACAUGACAAAUGACAUCGAAGGCAUGGAUGAACCGGCUGUUUACUCUGGUAAUGAACGUGUCAUGGUUGGAAAUUGUCAGUCUUUAGCAAUAUCUCACACUGGUUCUAUUUCAUCUCUUGUUUCGACUAGUCCCAUGCUUUUAUCAAAUGUCUUAGUUGUUCCUGGCAUUAAGAAAAAUCUUAUUUCCAUUAGUCAACUUACAAAAGAGAAUAAUUGCUAUGUUAUCUUUUCUUCUUCUGGUUUUACCAUACAGGACCAAGUAACAAGAAAGGUACUGGGAGCUGGAAAAUGUGAGAAUGGUCUCUACGUGUUGAAUCAUCGCCAUCAUGCCUUCAUGUCCACCACUUCCUCUCCACCGCAAGCCUAUGGUCGUUUAUGGCAUGGGCGCCUUGGUCAUCCAAAUUAUCAUACUAUUGUUUCCCUUUCUAGAUUAGGUUCUAUCUCUUGUACUGAUACAUUGGUGAACACAAAUUCUGAUAUUUGUUUUGGUUGUAAACUUGAUAAAAGCCACUGAUUACCUUUUUCUUUAAAUGAUGAACGUUGUGCCAUGCCUUUUGAUCGUUUAAAC
rnacentral:lncRNA from 1 species